rnacentral:rRNA from 1 species
UACGGAGGGUGCGAGCGUUAAUCGGAAUUACUGGGCGUAAAGCGUGCGUAGGCGGUUCGUUAAGUCAGAUGUGAAAGCCCUGGGCUCAACCUGGGAACUGCAUUUGAAACUGGCGGACUAGAGUUGUGUAGAGGGGAGUGGAAUUUCAGGUGUAGCGGUGAAAUGCGUAGAUAUCUGAAGGAACACCAGUGGCGAAGGCGACUCCCUGGACUCAAACUGACGCUGAGGUACGAAAGCGUGGGUAGCAAACAGG